rnacentral:tRNA from 1 species
AGCGGGGUGGGGUAGCCAGGAUAACCCGCUGGGCUCAUAAUCCGGAGAUCCGUGGUUCAAAUCCACGCCCCGCUACCA